rnacentral:rRNA from 1 species
AGCGAACGCUGGCGGCAGGCUUAACACAUGCAAGUCGAGCGGGCAUCCUUGUGGUGUCAGCGGCAGACGGGUGAGUAACGCGUGGGAACGUGCCCUUCGGUUCGGAAUAACUCAGGGAAACUUGAGCUAAUACCGGAUACGUGCGAGAGCAGAAAGGUUUAUCUGCCGAAGGAUCGGCCCGCGUCUGAUUAGCUAGUUGGUGAGGUUACGGCUCACCAAGGCGACGAUCAGUAGCUGGUCUGAGAGGAUGAUCAGCCACACUGGGACUGAGACACGGCCCAGACUCCUACGGGAGGCAGCAGUGGGGAAUAUUGGACAAUGGGGGCAACCCUGAUCCAGCCAUGCCGCGGGAGUGAUGACGGCCUUAGGGUUGUAAAGCUCUUUUCUCCGGGACGAUAAUGACGGUACCGGAGGAAUAAGCCCCGGCUAACUUCGUG